UACAGAGGGUGCAACCGUUGCUCGGAAUUAUUGGGCGUAAAGCGCGUGUAGGCGGCUUGUUAAGUCGGGUGUGAAAGCCCCGGGCUCAACCUGGGAAUUGCAUUCGAGACUGCAUUGCUGGAGUACGGAAGAGGAGGGCGGAAUUCCCGGUGUAGCGGUGAAAUGCGUAGAUAUCGGGAGGAACAUCAGUGGCGAAGGCGGCCCUCUGGUCCAGUACUGACACUCAAGUGCGAAAGCGUGGGGAGCAAACAGG
rnacentral:rRNA from 1 species